GGCUUUAUAGCCUAACUCAAGGCAUUUGAAUUGCAAUCAAACCAUGUAUUAUAUACUGAAGCCA
rnacentral:tRNA from 1 species